rnacentral:rRNA from 1 species
CGCCGCGUGAGCGAUGAAGGCCUUCGGGGUGUAAAGCUCUUUCGUCAGGGAAGAUAAUGACGGUACCUGUAGAAGAAGCUGCGGCUAACUACGUGCCAGCAGCCGCGGUAAUACGUAGGCAGCAAGCGUUGUUCGGAAUUACUGGGCGUAAAGGGUGUGUAGGCGGUUUUCUAAGUUUGGUGUGAAAUCUCCCGGCUCAACCGGGAGGGUGCGCCGAAGACUGGGGGGCUUGAGUGUGGGAGAGGAAAGUGGAAUUCCUGGUGUAGCGGUGAAAUGCGUAGAUAUCAGGAGGAACACCUGUGGUGUAGACGGCUUUCUGGACCAUUACUGACGCUGAGGCACGAAAGCGUGGGUAGCAAACAGGAUUAGAUACCCUGGUAGUCCACGCCCUAAACGAUGCAUAUUUGGUGUGGGC